rnacentral:rRNA from 1 species
CUGCUCAAUGAAUUAAUUUAAAUAGCUGCAGUAUAAAUAACUGUACAAAGGUAGCAUAAUAAUUUGUUUUUUAAUUAAAAACUAGAAUGAAUGAUUUUAUGAAAUAUAAACUGUAUCAAAUUUAAUUAAUAAAUUUAUUAUUUAAAUAAAAAAAUUUAAAUAAAUUUUAAAGACGAGAAGACCCUAUAGAAUUUUUAUAAUAAAUUUAUAUAUUUAUUUAUAAUUUUAUUAUUUUAAUUGGGGAAAUUUUAAAAUUUAAAAAAUUUUUAAUUUAAAAAACAUUAAUUUUUGAAUAAUUAAUAUUUUUUUAAAAAAUUAAAAUAAAUUACCUUAGGGAUAACAGCAUAAUUUUUUUAAAAAG